UACGUAGGGGGCGAGCGUUGUCCGGAUUUAUUGGGCGUAAAGAGCUCGUAGGCGGUGUGUCGCGUCGGCCGUGAAAACCUGCAGCUUAACUGUGGGCUUGCGGUCGAUACGGGCAUCACUGGAGUUCGGCAGGGAAGACUGGAAUUCCUGGUGUAGCGGUGAAAUGCGCAGAUAUCAGGAGGAACACCUGCGGCGAAGGCGGGUUGCUGGGCCGACACUGACGCUGAUGCGCGAAAGCCAGGGGAGCGAACGGG
rnacentral:rRNA from 1 species